ensembl:snoRNA
CCUCCAUUUCUUGGCAUGUUGGGUGUUGUCCCGUACCCCUGCAUGUAAUGUACGGAGGUAGAUUAUGCCCCCGGUGCUAUGUCUUCGGUGCCAGCCCCUCUAUUGGACUGGUUCUAUCCUCAAUCACUGGGACAGUU